rnacentral:rRNA from 1 species
UGCCAGCCGCCGCGGUAAUACGAAGGUGGCGAGCGUUGUUCGGAUUCACUGGGCAUAAAGGGCGCGUAGGCGGUCCUGUAAGCGGAGGGUGAAAGCCCGGGGCUCAACCCCGGAACUGCUCUCCGAACUGCAGGGCUAGAGGACGAGAGGGGACUUUGGAACUCUAGGUGGAGCGGUGAAAUGCGUAGAUAUCUAGAGGAACGCCGGUGGCGAAAGCGAAAGUCUGGCUCGUUUCUGACGCUGAGGCGCGAAAGCGUGGGUAGCAAACAGGAUUAGAUA